GUGAUCACUUCUGCAGCACAUACACUAAUUGGAACGAUACAGAGAAGAUUAGCAUGGCCCCUGUGUAAGGAUGACAUGCAAAUUCGUGAAACAGUCCGUUCUUUU